GUGGGGAAUCUUGCGCAAUGGGCGAAAGCCUGACGCAGCCAUGCCGCGUGAAUGAUGAAGGUCUUAGGAUUGUAAAAUUCUUUCACCGGGGACGAUAAUGACGGUACCCGGAGAAGAAGCUCCGGCUAACUUCGUGCCAGCAGCCGCGGUAAUACGAAGGGGGCUAGCGUUGCUCGGAAUUACUGGGCGUAAAGGGCGCGUAGGCGGACAGCUUAGUCAGAGGUGAAAGCCCAGGGCUCAACCUAGGAAUUGCCUUUGAUACUGGCUGUCUUGAGUUUGGGAGAGGUGAGUGGAACUCCGAGUGUAGAGGUGAAAUUCGUAGAUAUUCGGAAGAACACCAGUGGCGAAGGCGACUCACUGGCCCAAUACUGACGCUGAGGCGCGAAAGCGUGGGGAGCAAACAGGAUUAGAUACCCUGGUAGUCC
rnacentral:rRNA from 1 species